AUCGCUUCUCGGCCUUUUGGCUAAGAUCAAGUGUAGUAGCAGUUUUUGGCCACAAAAGCCAAGCGUUCGAGAACGGAACAAUGGCUAUGACACCCCACGAACAGCCGAUCCCAAGGGUCGGGCUGAGAUAUA
ensembl:snRNA U2 U2 spliceosomal RNA